UAACGCGUGGAUAACCUGCCUCACACAGGGGGAUAACAGUUAGAAAUGACUGCUAAUACCGCAUAAGCGCACAGUCUCGCAUGGGACAGUGUGAAAAACUGAGGUGGUGUGAGAUGGAUCCGCGUCUGAUUAGGCAGUUGGCGGGGUAACGGCCCACCAAAGCGACGAUCAGUAGCCGGCCUGAGAGGGCGGACGGCCACACUGGGACUGAGACACGGCCCAGACUCCUACGGGAGGCAGCAG
rnacentral:rRNA from 1 species